GUGCUUUGGGGUGCGGUUGGGGAACAGAGGCGGGACUCUACAGCAGAGCGGACCGCCCAGAGAGGCGGGUCCUACAUGUCUUCCACCCACGACGCCACACCGCCCGCCCCGAUGUGAGAGUCGGCGUCGGCGCGGCCGCCCAGGCCCUGCACUCCCAGCCUGCUUUGAGCGAGGGCGCGGGAGGGAGGAGCGUUGCGGGCGGAAGUUGCUGUGGCUGGUUCACGAUCGUCUCGCGGCGUAAGGUCUUCGCAGCCGCCUACCCACCGUUAGAAACUGGGAGUGGACGGAAUAGGGAAGCUCACUGUAGUCUGUUCGGCCUCCCUCGCCCACGCUACAAGAAUGCCUCUUCUCCAACUUUACCAUGCUACUAGCAGCUGAUAUGCUAAUCACCAACCAAGAUGCCCCACGUGCAUUCCUAAAGACUCCACAAGCAGGUACCCUGGCUAUCAUGGGCUUGGAUCACUACACACUCGGCUGACUGACUCAACAUGGCUUGGGAAAUGCCAGGUGACAGAACUAUGUCACUCUCUCCCACGAGAAAGGCAUACUCAGUCUCUGCCAAUCUAGAAAAACCAGGAAGUGAUCUGCAGCUUCUACUCCCCUGGAGCCAGCAUCACCAGCCUACUGUGCUCAAGGAUAAUUUUAUUGGAGUUUAAGAGAAAAGUAAAACUUGGGUGAUCUGAAGAUCCUGGCAUGGCAGGUGGAGAUGGACAGAAAAACCACGCCUUUUAAGUUAGGCACAAAAUAAAAACAGACUUUUUAUUUUUAUUAUUUUUAGAAUUAUUCUUACUUUAUAUGUAUGAGUGUUUUGCUUGCUUGUAUGUAUAUACAUCAUGUGUGUACCUGAUGACCACAAAGGCUAGAAGAGAUGUUGUUACAGAUGGUCCUGAGCUGCCGUGUGGGUGAUGGGAAUCGAACCUGGGUCCUCUGUAAGAUCAGCAAGCACCCUAAUCCCUUGAGCUAUCUUUGUGGCCCCUGAGCUGCUUGUAUGGAUGGGAGUGGAACAUGUGCACAUUACAGUACACAUGUCCAGGUCAGAGGGCAACUUUCAGGAGUGGGUUUUUUUUUCCAUUUCUAUGUGGUUUCUAGGGAUCAACCUCAGUCACCAGUCACUCCCCCACCCCCAUCUCUCUGUUUCUAUUUCUGCCUUAGCAGUUCAGAGUACUUGUUGCUCUUGG